rnacentral:siRNA from 1 species
ACGCAAAAUGUCUCUAAUCAACA